AUUUGGAUUAAUACCUCAUAGUAUUACGUCUUGGCAUCGAGAUGUAAUUAAAGUCACAACGGUAAAAGAUGAGCAUGCGUCCCAUUAGCUAGAUGGUAAGGUAACGGCUUACCAUGGCUACGAUGGGUAGGGGUCCUGAGAGGGAGAUCCCCCACACUGGUACUGAGACACGGACCAGACUCCUACGGGAGGCAGCAGUGAGGAAUAUUGGACAAUGGGCGCAAGCCUGAUCCAGCCAUGCCGCGUGCAGGAUGACGGUCCUAUGGAUUGUAAACUGCUUUUAUACAGGAAGAAACACCUCUACGUGUAGAGACUUGACGGUACUGUAAGAAUAAGGAUCGGCUAACUCCGUGCCAGCAGCCGCGGUAAUACGGAGGAUCCAAGCGUUAUCCGGAAUCAUUGGGUUUAAAGGGUCCGUAGGCGGUUUAGUAAGUCAGUGGUGAAAGCCCAUCGCUCAACGGUGGAACGGCCAUUGAUACUGCUAGACUUGAAUUAUUAGGAAGUAACUAGAAUAUGUAGUGUAGCGGUGAAAUGCUUAGAGAUUACAUGGAAUACCAAUUGCGAAGGCAGGUUACUACUAAUGGAUUGACGCUGAUGGACGAAAGCGUGGGUAGCGAACAGGAUUAGAUACCCUGGUAGUCCACGCCGUAAACGAUGGAUACUAGCUGUUGGGAGCAAUCUCAGUGGCUAAGCGAAAGUGAUAAGUAUCCCACCUGGGGAGUACGUUCGCAAGAAUGAAACUCAAAGGAAUUGACGGGGGCCCGCACAAGCGGGGGAGCAUGUGGUUUAAUUCAAAGAUACGCGAGGAAGUCCACGCCGUAAACGAUGGAUACUAGCUGUUGGGAGCAAUCUCAGUGGCUAAGCGAAAGUGAUAAGUAUCCCACCUGGGGAGUACGUUCGCAAGAAUGAAACUCAAAGGAAUUGACGGGGGCCCGCACAAGCGGUGGAGCAUGUGGUUUAAUUCGAUGAUACGCGAGGAACCUUACCAAGGCUUAAAUGUAGAUUGACCGGUUUGGAAACAGAUCUUUCGCAAGACAAUUUACAAGGUGCUGCAUGGUUGUCGUCAGCUCGUGCCGUGAGGUGUCAGGUUAAGUCCUAUAACGAGCGCAACCCCUGUUGUUAGUUGCCAGCGAGUCAAGUCGGGAACUCUAACAAGACUGCCAGUGCAAACUGUGAGGAAGGUGGGGAUGACGUCAAAUCAUCACGGCCCUUACGCCUUGGGCUACACACGUGCUACAAUGGCCGGUACAGAGAGCAGCCACUGGGCGACCAGGAGCGAAUCUAUAAAACCGGUCACAGUUCGGAUCGGAGUCUGCAAC
rnacentral:rRNA from 1 species